rnacentral:rRNA from 1 species
GACAGAGGUGCCGAGCGUUAGGCGGAAUCACUGGGCUUAAAGCGUGUGUAGGCGGAUGCCUAAGUACCUUGUGAAAUCCCACGGCUCAACCGUGGAACUGCUUGGUAUACUGGGCGUCUUGAGCCACUUAGGGGCAACCGGAACAAACGGUGGAGCGGUGAAAUGCGUAGAUAUCGUUCGGAACGCCGAUGGUGAAAACAGGUUGCUGGGAGUGUGCUGACGCUGAGACACGAAAGCCAGGGGAGCAAACGGG